GUAGCGUUGUUCGGAGUUACUGGGCGUAAAGCGCAUGUAGGCGGACAUUUAAGUCAGGGGUGAAAUCCCGGGGCGUCAACCUCGGAACUGCCUUUGAUACUGGGUGUCUAAGAGUGUGGAAGAGGUAAGUGGAAUUCCGAGUGUAGAGGUGAAAUUCGUAGAUAUUCGGAGGAACACCAGUGGCGAAGGCGGCUUACUGGUCCAUUACUGACGCUGAGGUGCGAAAGCGUGGGGAGC
rnacentral:rRNA from 1 species